UACGAAGGGGGCUAGCGUUGCUCGGAAUCACUGGGCGUAAAGCGCACGUAGGCGGAUUGCUAAGUCAGGGGUGAAAUCCUGGAGCUCAACUCCAGAACUGCCUUUGAUACUGAGGAUCUUUGAGUCCGGGAGAGGUGAGUGGAACUCCGAGUGUAGAGGUGAAAUUCGUAGAUAUUCGGAAGAACACCAGUGGCGAAGGCGGCUCACUGGCCCGGUACUGACGCUGAGGUGCGAAAGCGUGGGGAGCAAACAGG
rnacentral:rRNA from 1 species